AACGCGAAGAACCUUACCUGGGCUCGAAAUGCUAUGGACCGGGGUGGAAACAUCCCUUCCCCGCAAGGGGCCGUAGUAUAGGUGCUGCAUGGCUGUCGUCAGCUCGUGUCGUGAGAUGUUGGGUUAAGUCCCGCAACGAGCGCAACCCUUACUUCCAGUUGCCAUCAUUUAGUUGGGCACUCUGGCAGAACCGCCUCGGAUAACGGGGAGGAAGGUGGGGAUGACGUCAAGUCCUCAUGGCCUUUAUGUCCAGGGCUACACACGUGCUACAAUGGCCGGUACAAACCGUCGCAAACCCGCGAGGGGGAGCUAAUCGGAAAAAGCCGGCCUCAGUUCGGAUUGGAGUCUGCAACUCGACUCCAUGAAGCUGGAAUCGCUAGUAAUCGCGGAUCAGAACGCCGCGGUGAAUACGUUCCCGGGCCUUGUACACACCGAGACGAC
rnacentral:rRNA from 1 species